rnacentral:tRNA from 1 species
UGCACGUGUAGAUUAAGUUUAUUUAAAUCGUAAGGCUGUUAACUUUAAGAUGUGUUUCCACGGGCGCAGC